CAUGCUGUGAGCAGGGCCUAGCAGAGAUGAGACUCACUUCUUUCUAACUUACCCCCCAGCUAAGACAGUCAGAUGCUAAGGGACACAGCAGUUUAAGCGUUUCCCCCCCCUCUGCCUGAUCCCUCGCCUGGCUCCGGUUUGAUGAUUCCUGAUGCCUCUUAUUGGAUUGCUCUGCCUGAUCGGACUGCCUGCCUGUGUCUCCAAGUGAACUGUAGCACCUCGGCGGCUUCUAGAGGACGUGAUUAUAGCUCGCUGCGUUCUGGGCUCCUUCCAUCAGGCCCGGCUGUGGCCCCCAUCCAGCACACCUCUGCCCUCCUCUGCCUCCGCUCUGUAUCCCUGUUGAGAGACGAGCAGAGAGAGUGUCUCACCCGGCUCAUAAACCCACUGUAAACACGUACUCUGUGAAGCCGAUACUGGGAAGAGAAAGCUAAUGUUAUUCUUGCCACCAGAUCCACACAUACUGAACAUACCGUAAUAAAGACUUGCAUAGCGUAAUGUAAAACGUGGAAACAAGGAGGGUAGUUAUAUAUAAACGCUGUAAAUUCUGUUAGCGUUCACUGAAAUAUCAGUUUUAUGUAUCUUUUUAAAAGACGGGUAUGUAUAGCAAGAC